AAAGAUUGGAUAUAGGGCCGAUAAAUAAGGUUUAAGGUCACUAUCAGCAGUUCAAAUGACCAUUUGGAAGCCAAGAAUAGUCAGAAUCAAAGAUUAUAUUACAAAUAACGAUCAUUAUUUCAUAAUCGUUGCAAUUACAACAGGUUUUCUUUCGAUGGACUUCUAUUGGAUAAACUUCUUCCAAAAUAAUCUAAUGGUUAUCGAUCUGAUUAUGUUUGAUUCAGCCAAGAAAUUUGCAACACGAAAACCACUAAGAAUAUCCCACAUAUAGGAGAUGAGAAUGGAG